rnacentral:lncRNA from 1 species
GUUCCUCAACAGGAAGAAGGACUACAAGGACGGGAGGUACUCGCAGGUUGUGGCAAACGCGCUGGACAUGAAGCUCAGGGACGACCUCGAGAGGCUCAAGAAGAUCAGGCAAGCCGUUUUUCCCUUUCAAUCUCUUGGGGAUGGAUGGAUUGACUUCUUUAUUGUUUGACAGGAACCACCGUGGUCUUCGUCACUACUGGGGCCUGCGCGUCCGCGGGCAGCACACCAAGACCACCGGACGCCGCGGAAGAACCGUGGGAGUCUCCAAGAAGCGAUAGACAAUAUCCUCCAUGGCUUUGUACGGGCAUGUCUUGGUUUUUCUCCUAAGUUUUUGACAAAUGCGUCCUUAUUUUCUUGCCGAGAUCUCUCUACGUUUUCACUCUUCUAUUUUUCUCAACAAAAAAAAUCAAAGAAACACUCCAGUCAACUAUCAUUGGCCCGGUCAAACCGGUGCCUUACUUGACUGGGAUGCUUCUCAGGAAGAUUCCCCAAAGUUAGAGAAACCAAACUUCAGUAUAGAUAAUCACAGCAAUUCAUUCACAAAGCAUUCAAAUGGCUCUAAGAAUUGGCUCAAUUGUGCGUGUUUUGAUCGUCUUCUCGAUAUGUUCUCGUGAUCUUCUCGUCGAGUCCAGGGGAUGCGGGCAAUCGUGCUCCACAAACGACGAUUGCGAUGGUCAGCUCUACUGUGGAGCGGGGCGCACUUGCCAAGACGAUCCGGAUUUGGGAACUCACAUCUGCGCUGGAAGUGGCGGCGGCGGUGGCGGUGGCUCAGGAACUUGCCAGCAGAGUGGAACUCUCAAGGGCAAUUCGGCCCACCAGUGCGACGAGUGCUGCAAGGCCAACACAAACUAUCCGAUCUAUCGAUGCUCGCCCCCAGUCUCGCAGAGCACCAAAGCAAUUCUCACUGUCAACGACUUCCAAGCUGGUGGCGAUGGCGGAGAUCCUUCGGAGUGCGAUGGGAAAUUCCACUCCAACACCGAGAGGGUCGUGGCUCUCUCAACCGGAUGGUAUAGUGGGGGCUCCCGGUGCUUGAAGUUCAUCAGUAUCACAGCUCCAAAUGGGAGAUCCACCACUGCCAAAGUGGUGGACGAGUGUGAUUCUACAAUGGGCUGUGACAAGCCUCAUGCUUGGCAGCCACCAUGCCGGAAUAACAUUGUGGAUGGCUCUGAUGCUGUGUGGAAAGCGCUGGGCAUUAGCUCCAGCGACCCCCUCUACGGUCAGAUGUCCAUCACCUGGAGAGAUGCUUAACAAUGCUAUAUAACAGUAAUUGGUCAUAAAGAAGAAUAAAAGCUGCCAAGACGUUUGAAAGAAGUCGAAACAUUGGCCAGUUCUUACAAGCGCUGAUAUAGUGGAAGUCCUUUGACUUAUCUUUGAGGCCCUUGUAAUUGGGAAAGACCAAUGAAUGCUCAUCGCGACCCCGCGAAAGCUAAGGAGCUACAAAUUGUUUAUCAUGCUCGUAGUUAACUCUUUCUCUUGUUGACUAGAAGUGUUGCCAAUCAUUGACUGAUAUAGUAUUGACCAACAUUGACUGGUUUUCGGUCAUGGUUUCGUGCAUGCGCAGAGGAGCGUGCCUGCUGCUCCAGUCCUCGAGGCUCAAGCUCUACGACACCAAAAGUUAGCCAUGAACCUUCAUGGAGAUACGAGCAAUGUAAAGCACCUCAAGGCGGCGGCAAGGUUGAGAGAUCUUUGGCCGAAUCCAGAGCUGCUUGACGCCACUGAUGCGACCUCUCGCUGGGCGAGCCUCGAAAGGUGCUUGUGAGCUUGUUGAGCCUAGACAUUUACAGGCCCUGGAUGCUCCGCCCUGGAUGGUUGCACGUAGACGGCAUCAUUGACGAGCAUCCACCGGAGCUUGUGCAGCUUCCGCACCGGCCAAACCAGGAAAGAAGGCCCUGCUGCCGCUCAUCCUCACCAGUGACUGUGUGAUUCCAGGCUGAAAUUUGUGACGACGCGCUACACCCCAAUACAAGUGGUACAAGUGGCGCGACGGGAACAGGAUCCCGAAGGGCACCUCGUCGGGAAGAUCAUCCAAGGAGCUCAGAUUGUUGCGCAUCUUGGUUAUCUUCAUCCUGAUAACAAAUAUUUUUCAAUUUAUUGGCAAAUACUUUUUAGUGGAUUAACAUCAAUGGAGAGAGGUGGUGAAGGAGACGGUCUGGAGAGGGCUUCCACAGUGGUAUUGUCCGAUGAUAUCAGCCAGCGAGUUGACAAGCCGGCUAUCCAUGGGCUUCACCAAGGGAUUCCUUUGUGGAACAAGCACAAAAUCAUACGUGUGGUUCCUUGCAUUGAAUGGAUUUGGGUAUGGAAUGUUCUUGCUAGUGUUGGAAGGAGAUACAUAAGGCUCCAAAAUGCUGCCCUUCACAGCUCCUGCCAAGCCACCAUGAUCAUAUAAAGAUUUGAAGUAUAUCACUCACCGGUGCUGCCUGCUGGAAUGUUUGCAAUCCAAAAGUUGAUGUAGGGGUAAACUUUGGUUGGCGCUGACAGUGCCUUUUGAUCUGCCAUGACAACCGAGAAGAGACGAGCAGUGCCAUUCUUCCCGAAUCCUUCAAUGUCAACAGUGGGGGCAGAGUCAGUGCUGCUCAAGGGGAUGAAGUUGCCAUUCCCAACCGUGACAGAGCCAUAUUGUACAAGCAAACCAACAGUAGCUUGAGCUAACAAGGAGCAGAGAAUCAAGCAAGACAUGACUGAAAUUGCCAUUAGAAAAGAUUAAUUGAUUGAUGUUUUCUGUUGAGAAUUUCCUUGAGAUUUAUACAAAGGCAAUAGCUAAUUCUGUCCAUGCCUUGGAUAAAUUUUGCAAACUAUCUAAUAAAAUCUAGUGUAUUGAUUGUCUUUUUACAUAUGUGAGUGCAUGGAAUAUGGAAAGGGAAUAUAGAAAUAUGCAUAUCAAUUAGCCCAAAAACUUUAACUUAUAUACAGGAGUGAGUGGUCUGGAUUGAAACCAAUCCAAUGGCUACUAAAAUCCCACUACGCUAAUAUUAAUAUACGGCAUCGUAGCCGUACAAUUGGCCCUCACAUCAUCCCCUCCUCUCGGAAUAAUGGAAGGCCGUCAGGGUUCUCUUGUAGAUGGGCUGAGAUCUGGAGGAACAUCAGGAGGAGGCAUCGGCGGAUCUGUAGACGGUAUUAACUGCUCCUGAUCCCUUUGUAUGAAGUGUUUCAACCGCUGCACAUGCACAAUCUCCGGAAGAUCUGCCUGCUGAACAUCAUGCCGAACCUCAUAAACGUGCGGUCCAACUUGCCGCAACACCCGAUACGGUCCUUUCCACUGUGCAAGGAGCCCCUUAGAUAAACCACGUACCGUAAGAUGGGGAAAACGGACUAACACUAAAUCAUCCACUUUGUACUCCAUAGGUGGACGAUGAUGGGAGUUGUAGCGCCGUUGUUGUCCCACUUGUACGCGGCCUAAGUGUUCGGCAGACUCUACUCGGACAAGUGGAAGAAUGCUCGUCAAAUAUUGUUCCCAGGACCUAGCAUUAGGAGCUCGUGGCAAUCCCGAAGGUAAACCCAGCUCCAUUGGUAAUAUUGGAUCAUGACCAUAUAUAAGUUUAUACGGUGAAGCACCAACAGAACUCUGCACCCCUGUGACAUAAGCAUACCGAAGAGACGGCAAAUAACCAUCUCAAUCCGAAUGCUGAAAGUUCACAUACUUCGCAAUCAUCCCUUUGAAUGUCCGAACGAGCCAUUCCACCAGACUGUCUGAUUGUGGAUGAUAAGCACUCGUAAAAGUGUGGCGUAUCCCCAACCGAGACGUCAAAACAUGAAAUACCUCAGCCAUAAAUGUAGGACCAUUAUCCGAAAGAAUCCGCUCUAGACAAGAAUGCUGGAACACCACUCGAUUGAGAAGGAAGUAUCCAACAGCAGUUGUAGAGGCGCUAGCAAGAGCACCAACUUCCACCCAACGAGUCAAGUAGUUAGAAGCAAUAAUAACAUACUCAUUGCCAGCAGUCAACCGUGGAAAAGGUCCCAUAAGAUCAAACGCCACCAACUCAAACGGACGGGAAACUGCAAUUGACUCCAACCGUCCUUCCGCAACACAAGGGGGAGUAUUACGAGCUUAGCACCAAACGCAGCUACGCACAUACCGGAUAACAUCACGUCGCAUCUCCGGCCAAUAGAAAGACCUGCGCAGCUUCUCGGUCACACAACGAUGUCCCAUAUGCCCACCUAGAACAGGAGAAUCAUGGUAGGCAUAGAGAAACCGCGGAAUAAAGAUAGAAGGCACCACCAGCUAUAAAGGAUCAUCAGGAUCCGUCCCCACAAAAUAAAGAAGGCCAUCUUUAAGAUGAUAUUGAAAAUGUAAAUGCCGAAAAGGCAAGUUAUCAGCAAGUGAUGUAAGAUUCUCAAAUGCAUCUCGAAGCCUUCGAAUCCAUGGCUCAAUCUUUUGAGCCUCACGAACCUCAUCAAGAGAAAGUAGAUCUUGCUCUGCGCCUUGUGAACACUAAACGUCAAGUACAGCAACUGCCGACGGCACAGAAUCCUCGUCUAGAAAAUCCACAGAUGCUGGAACAACAAGCUCAUCAAAAAUAGGAGAAGAGAGCGGAGAAGGAAGAGGAGCUCGAGAAAGGGCAUCAGCAUCAGCCAUAGAACUCCCUGGGUGAUGAACAACAUCAAAAUUAUAUAUUUGAAGCUUCAAAACCAACCGAGCAGUACGACCAACCAGGUUCUUUUGCUUCAAUAAUGAAGUAACGGCAGCAUGGUCACCUUCAAGUAACGUCCGAGAACCAUGUAGAUAUGCAUGAAGUUUCUCGAAACCCCAAACUGCCGCUAAACACUCCUUCUCUGUCGUAGAGUAGUUCACUUCUACUAGUUGUAAUGUACAGCUUAUAUAUGCAAUGGGAUGACGCUGACCAGGCACACUCGGGCUUUCUUGCAUCAACACACCUCCAAGACCAAUAUCAGAAGCAUCUACGCGCAAAAUAAAAGGUCGAGUGUAGUCAGGAUAUGCCAAAACUGGAGGAGUUGUUAACAGCUCUUUGAGAUUCACAAAUGCCUGCUCACAAUCUGAAGACCAGAUGAAAGAUGACGUUGAUGACUUUAGCAACGCUCACAACGGUGCAGUGCGAUCAGAAUGAUGAUCCACAAAACGACCAAGAUACUGCACCUUGCCCAGGAAGCGCUGCACAUCAUUCACACACUUUGGAGUAAGGAACUUUAGAACGGCUACAAGUUUGUCAGGAUCAACUUGCAAACCUUUACGAGAAAUACGGUACCCAAGAUAAGUUGUGUCCUUGGACCCAACACGCACUUCGACCGCUUCAGCUUUAAACCAACGUCCCAUAGCCGAUCCAACACUUUACACACAUCACGAAUGUGCUCCUCCCACGUCCCCUCCGAGUGAAUCAAGACAUCAUUAAUGAAGUCAGCAGUCACCUCUGGCAUAUCACAAAGAACCUCGUCCAUCAUCCGCUGGAAAGUUGCUGGAGCAUUGUUCAAACCAAAUGGCAUCACCAAGAACUCGUACAAACCAAAUGGUGUACGAAAAACAGUCUUAGGAAUAUCUUCUUCGGCCAUCGGUACUUGCCAGUACCCAGAAGCAAGAUCGAGCUUGGUGAACCAACGACUUCGCCCUAGACGAUCCAAAAGAUUAGCCGUGUGAGGAAGAGGGUACACAUUCGGGAUCGUCACUUCAUUUAACGGAUGAUAGUCGAUGCAAAAACGAAUACUCCCAUCAGGCUUCGUCACAAGAUGAGGUUCACAUGCCCAAGGACUCCGUGACUUCCGAAUAACACCCUUCUCCAACAUCUCUUUGACGUUUGCACGUAAAAUCUUGAUCUCCUUACCGACGACAAACAGGAACCUUGAUUGGACGAACAUCCCCGGUUGGAAUCGGAUGACGUGUGGCAAUCUUGGCCCUAGAAGAUAAGUCAAAUUCAAAGAGAUCAGAAUACUCCUUCAUGAGCUGAUCAAUAACUGCAACACAAAGAUCUUCGGAGGGAUCGGAAAAGGGAAGAGCAGAACAAGAUGGAAACAUAGAAGGAAAUAGUGGGGAAACAAAAGUAAUAGAAGCAGAGGUAAAAGUAGAGGGACAAAGAGGUACGAAAGUGAGAGGAAUGGAUGAAACAUAAAGAAGUAUGAGACAAGGGGGAGAAGCCUUAAAGUCACAUUUGGCAUGAUUGCGCUGCAACCAAUCCAUACCAAGAAUAAGGUCAAAAGCUUGACUCGGCACCACCCGCAAUGACUGCAACUCAAGCUCGAGAUCGCCCACACGCACAACCAGAUCCGCCUUAUCUCAUGCACAUGCAUGUACGGCCGUUGCCAUAAAGAAUGAAAACUGGAUCCGCCGCACGACGCAAGUGUAGACAACAACGUGUAGCAACAGGUCGAGCAAUAGAAGAUAAACUCGAACCUGUAUCAACCAACACGGAGAGAAAAAUAGGAGACCUCUUGUUAUAAAAACAAGCUUGGAAAGUAAACACUGGAUGAACCGGUGCCGAGUGAACCCCUUGAUGAUACUCUCAAAAGAAAGAUGGAGGGGUCACUAACUUAUUUGCGCAAGGUCCCUCUGUUACUCGCAUGACUCCUCAUUUCCCGGAUGCACCUCGGUGUCCAAACCUUCCACUGCAGCAGCACCAACAGGACGUUGUUGACGCCAAGGUCUCCAUCUAGGAAAUGGAGGUCGCCAAUCUGGAAAGCAUCGACAACGCCGAUAAGUAUGACCAACUUCAUCACACGUCCAACAACGAACAUCACGGCCACAACCACGUCAUCGCCCUUAUCCAUGGACUCGAGUAGCAACAGCAUCAACCUCCAUUGGAACAGGACCAUCACUCAUAGGAAGUGGAGUUAAAGGACGUGCAGCGAAAAGUGGAAGAGGUGACGUCUUAUAACGUUGUGCCAAGCGAAGAGCAUCGUCAAGGGUGGCAGGGGCAAGUGCAUGCACAAGGCCAACAAGAUUUUGAUGAAGUGCUGGCCACAACAUUCCUAGCUUGAUCCGCUCCGACAUAUUAGGCUCCGCACGAAGUAAAAGACUUCGGAAACGAACGCCAAAUUGCAUCACUAACUCAGAUGGCCCUUGGCGAAGACGAUGCAAUUGUUGGAAGGCAUCGUCACAAUCGUCGGCAUGUCCAAAGGCACGUUUGAAGACGUCCGGAAGAACACUCCAAUCCCCACGAGUGGCCACACUCAAUCCAUUGUACCACUGCAACACCGUCCCUUGGAGACACGUGGGAAACUUUCGAGCAUCAUCCCAAGAAUGAUAUGUGGCAAUCACUGUGAAGUGAUCGAACCAAUGGUACACAUCAUCCCCAGGAUUCCCACGAAAGAACUCCGGCCGAACACGAGGAUAGGCACCAAGAGCAUGAGGAGUUGGACCACGUGCCGUGAAUGCCGCCAUCAAUUGAGUUUGGUUGUUCAAUUGCAAGCGCAUAACAUCAAGCAAUUGAACCAACUGCUGUUCUAGAGUCAAAGGAGGAGAUUGCGGAUCGGCCAUGAAGAUGAAUGAAAAAGAAAAAACAAAAGAAGAGAAAAUCUUGAAAAGAAAGAACAAAAGAAAGGAAAUGGAAAAAACUAAAUCUAGACAAUGCAAAAUAAACCGAAAUCCCAAAUCCAAGCACUCCCCAGGGACAAUCAAAAGUGCCCUUCAUCUCCACGCCCUUCAUCUCCACUAAUGUGAGUGCAUAGAAUAUGGAAAGGGAAUAUAGAAAUGUGCAUAUCAAUUAGCCCAAAAACCCUAACUUAUAUAUAGGAACAAAUGGUCUGGAUUGAAACCAAUCCAACGGGUACCAAAAUCCCACUACACUAAUAUUAGUAUACGGCAUCAUAGCCGUACACUUGUCCCUCACACAUAAUAUAAUAAUAAUGUAAACAAUUUGUCAUUUAUGUUUAGUGACUAGAAGUAUUUUUAGCAUACAGCUAAAAUUGAGAAUCAUCAACUUUGUCAACAUGACUUGAAUGUAUAUAUCCCUUCCUUGUUAGAAGAUAAUUGUGGCAUACCGUUUUCCAGUAAUUACCACAGAUGGGGCGGAUUCUUCGAGGAGAUGAGCUCGACUGCACUAAUCCCCCCAAUGAGGUAUUGCGACCAACCGGAAGAAUCUUUAAACUCCAAAAACAAUGUCAUUCCCUCUAAAUGUGCUGGAUGUAAGCUCUUUCCAAUUACCUGGAGCCAGCCAAGGGAUGACCGUUGCUGCUGUGAGAAACCGAGAUUGCUGCUGCUGCUGCCAAACCAGGAAACGAGGCCUUGGUGCUGUUAGCAGCGGAAAGACGCACACGAGGAGAAAAAACUUUCUGUGCAUUCAACUGUAUGUUACAUAUUCAUGGGCAUAAUUACAUGCUACAUCAUCUACCUCUAACACUCCCAAUGACAAUUAGGCUGUUGAUUCAAACUUAAAUCGUGCCCAGCAGCUACUCUGAGAUGAUGAACAUGAAGAGCUGAUGAGAAAACCAUAUGAAAAACUCAUCAAUCAACUACCCAAAUUUUAGUUCUUGGUUUUGGCCUUACUUGCACACUCUUUGCUCCUUGCUAUGGCUUCAAUCUUGCUAAUUACUGAAGUUGACACUAGGUCAAAGCCCUCACCUUGCUUGGAUCAUGAUCACCUUUGCUCACUGCACCCUUAGGUUUGUUCUUGAACUGCAUCCCCUGAUGUGCCACCCCAUCCUCUUUAACAAACCGGCCUCCUCCCCACCACAUCAGAAGCUGAGUCAUCUGUGUCCAUAUCGUAUGUUGCCUCAUUUUGUGCUACGGGCUCGUUAUUGGCUGUUACAGCUGUAGCCCCUACCCCGCCCCCCUUGCAGUUUUAGUGGUCUUCUACUUUGUGUGGUGGUUUAAGUGUCAAGGUCAAUAUUGAACAUUCAUUUCAAAUGCCAGCCUUCCUUAACCUGUUGUGGUUCACUCCCUCUAGCUGCUACACAGAAUUUGGAUUUGUGAACUUGUUGGGUGAUUGUAUAUAGUCUUUUGAACUUUGCUCUGCCUUUCCCACCACGUCAUAUGACUUUUAUGAAUACUUGGUCUCCUACUGCAAAUGGAUGUUUGGCUAUCCUCUUGUUGAAGUUUUUGGAGUAGCAUUCCUGGGAUCGCAAAAUAUUGAUCUUGGCCCGCUCAGUGAGAUCAGGGCUCUCCUCCAGUACUCGUAAGUCUGGCAUGGGAUGAUGAGGUUUCCUUGGUAGCUCAAAUAGCGAGAAUCCUGUGGACUCAUGCCUGGAUGUUUGGUAUGCAAAUAGCAGCUGUGGGAGUAGUGCAUCCCAGUCCCUGGGGGAUAGCAAAGCAUUUACCGUGGUCAUUUUUUCCAAUGUCUUGUUGAAUCUCUCUGAAAUCUCGCAGUGCAUUGAUGUUUUGCACCCAUGAGGUUACAAAAUUCUGGUCCCUGACCUAUGAGUAUCUCCACAGGGACGCCAUGUCUAAGGAUUAUCUCUUCGAAUAUGAACUGGACGGCUGCCUCCACUGACUUUGUAUGUAAAGCUUUCCCUUCAACCCACUUGGUAAAAUAGUCUAUUGCCACCACGACCACCCUGUUGCCGAAUGCAGUUUCAAACUGAAUGGACCAGCAAAGUCCAAUCCUAUCCUUGCAAAAGGCUCUGAUAUGGGCUCAACAGGAAGGACUACAAGGACCGGAGGUACUUGCAGGUUGUGGCAAACGCGCUCGACGUGAAGCUCAGGGACGACCUCGAGAGGCUCAAGAAGAUCAGGCAAGCCAUUUUUUCCUUUCAAUCUCUUACGGAUGGAUGGAUUGACUUGAGGUUAUCUUCCUUAGGGACCACCGUGGUCUUCGUCACUACUGGGGUCUGCGCGUCCGCGGGCAGCACACCAAGAC